CGUCAAGUCAAAGAGCAUAUCAUCUCCAUGGAAACAUGACCGUGAAAUCUGUCUGUUGACUUUCUCAAAUGGCAGACCAUGUAGUCAGAGCUGUUUAUGCUCAAGCAACUUCUUUGACAUUAAGUUCAAAGAAAAUAAAGGAAGUUCCAGAGUGUGUUUUCAUGCUAACAAACCUGUCAGUUCUUCGGCUGAACAACAACUCUAUCUGCUGCCUGCCUGACGAGCUGAGCUCUCUGCAACAGCUGUCUGAGCUGAAUUUGGGGAAUAAUGCCUUGAAGGAGGUUCCCGCUGUUUUGGGCCAUCUGGAGUCCUUGAAUAAACUGUAUCUGUUCAGCAACCAAAUCAGAGCAGUGCCACCUGAGGUGAUAGGUAGCUUAAGGAACCUUGUUGUGCUCAAUCUAAACCACAACCAUAUUCAAAGACUUCCCGCAGAGAUUAAAAGUUUGAGCAGGCUUGAACAUCUCAGUGUGCUGGACAAUGGACUGGAAGAGGUCCCUUCAGAGUUGGGUCAUCUCGCCUGUUUGUCUGUUUUAAACCUGACUUCAAACAGUUUGUCUCGGCUUCCUCAGCAGCUGUAUCAGUGUAAAGAGCUAACCAAGCUGCAUGUUGCAAGAAACAAUCUAACCAGCCUGCCAGGGGGGAUUCAGGCACUGUCAAAACUCCAAGUUCUAGAUGUGGCCGGUAACAAGUUGUCCAUGUUCCCUGUUGAGUUUCACCAGCUGCAUCUGAAGGAGCUGUACUUUGAAGACAACAGGUUUGUGUGCUGUGAACCCUUGCCGUCAGUGCAGGAUGUGGAGGUGCUUACAUUAAAGGAGCUGGUUGCCAGAUUUGUCCUGCAGGAGGACAGGAACAGGUCCUCUCUGAUACACAGGAUGCUCCCCUUCUAUCCAUCCCUUGUGGCCCUUUUGGCCAACAAUAGCUAUUGUGUGAUCUGCCUAAGCCCCUUCCUCACCACCUGGCUGGAGUGUGUGCAUUUUAUCAGUCUGAAGAAGGACAUGAAAAUGAGGAGCUCUCAGACUAUUCCAGUGCGAGCGCCUCUUUGUUCAUACAAGUGCCUUAAUACGAAUGGACACUCCUACUAUGGUGUUGCUUCAAGAUAAAUGCCAUUAGAUAGGUUAAAUCUGUGAACACAACCACUCUCCCCAUCUUAUUGUAAUAGUUUGAAGAGACAGAAUAAUUCUGAAGAACACACAGCUUGAUUGACGUCUAUGGAAAUGAGGAGGUUGCAUCCUCAAAGGAGGCACCAUACGGAUGGGAGCAGCACACUGACGAGAGGCAUCUACAAAAGGCGCUUGUAAAUUCCUGACAUGCCUAGCAUAUGUUAAUGAGCCAUUCUCUCGCUCUGAUAUAAUUACUAUGAGGGGAUAUUGCCUUUGGUGAAAAUAUCUGUCUCGCAUGGCGCGGCUACCUCAUGGGGGUGAAAGAAGUAAAGAAUGAUAAAGUA